rnacentral:rRNA from 1 species
AGAGAUGCACUGGGUAUAAAGCGUGCGCAGGCGGUUUUGUAAGACAGAGGUGAAAUCCCCGGGCUCAACCUGGGAACUGCCUUUGUGACUGCAAGGCUGGAGCGCGGCAGAGGGGGAUGGAAUUCCGCGUGUAGCAGUGAAAUGCGUAGAUAUGCGGAGGAACACCGAUGGCGAAGGCAAUCCCCUGGGCCUGCACUGACGCUCAUGCACGAAAGCGUGGGGAGCAAACA